UGAGAGCCCAGUUCAUUAACCGGCCCGCAUACAGCUAGACCAGUGGGCCAGGCCUAUUGGCCGUUGCGGCCUCUAACUCUUCGGGGGCUAUAAAAGCUUCGAACGUCCUUCCUCAGCGAUAGGGUUUUCUGAACCCACGUUGAUGCCGCCGGAGAGGGGCGUCGCAGUUCAUCCCCGAAGCCAGGUACAGUGGAGUUGCCCAACUGUACUUAGGGAUUCGUGAGCGAAUCAAUAUGAAUAAGACUACUAGGAGCAGGGAGCUUGGUGUUAUU